rnacentral:rRNA from 1 species
GUACACUCCUGCGGGAGGCAGCAGUGGGGAAUUUUGGACAAUGGGCGAAAGCCUGAUCCAGCAAUGCCGCGUGAGUGAAGAAGGCCUUCGGGUUGUAAAGCUCUUUUGUCAGGGAAGAAACGGUGAGAGCUAAUAUCUUUUGCUAAUGACGGUACCUGAAGAAUAAGCACCGGCUAACUACGUGCCAGCAGCCGCGGUAAUACGUAGGGUGCAAGCGUUAAUCGGAAUUACUGGGCGUAAAGCGUGCGCAGGCGGUUUUGUAAGUCUGAUGUGAAAUCCCCGGGCUCAACCUGGGAAUUGCAUUGGAGACUGCAAGGCUAGAAUCUGGCAGAGGGGGGUAGAAUUCCACGUGUAGCAGUGAAAUGCGUAGAUAUGUGGAGGAACACCGAUGGCGAAGGCAGCCCCCUGGGUCAAGAUUGACGCUCAUGCACGAAAGCGUGGGGAGCAAACAGGAUUAGAUACCCCGGUAGUCCCAU